rnacentral:lncRNA from 1 species
UUCAUUCUGUCUUGAGCUGCCAUGUCUUUUGCUAAGUAGUCUUUGAGCAUGUUUGUUUGACCGAUACUCCUGUCUCGUUUCAAUAAAUAACUUCAGUUCCUUCCUCGCUGAAUAGGCUUUUUUCUUAGCUUUAAGGUACUCUGAAAUAGCAAGAGAAUAUGCACAGAAAGGACAGUAAAAGUCUCCCCUCUCAUCAAAAUGUGGUGAGAAAACUAAACAGUUCUCAUGAAUCACCAAUGAGCAACUACCAGCACCACAAACCAACAACUGACCAUCUUUAUGGCAUUUUAUGCAAAGAUUUUGAUCUGUCCAGUUAGCUUCUGCCAGAGAAUCAUGACUUAACAUGUAUUGAGAACUCAGAAAAUGACUCUUCUUCAAACCAACAUCAACCCUCUCAUGCUCAUACUCGUCACUCUCAUUUGACUCGUCUUCUUCAGAUAGAUGGUCUUCGUCAGCUUCUCUUUCAUCAGCACCAGUAUUCCUGUGAAAUCCAUUUGGGGAUACACUAUUUGAUGGUUUUCGUUGACCACUAUGAUCAGAGUUGACAUAAGCACUAAGAAUGUUGCUGGAGUAGGAACAUCACAUUAAACAUCACAUUCGUUGACCACUAUGAUCAGAGUUGACAUAAGCACUAAGAAUGGUUUUCCUGCGAAGAGUAGGAACUUGGAAGGAAGAAGUUGACAUAAGCACUAAGAAUGUUGCUGGAGCUUAUCCAUCACAUUAAACAGACUCGUGAAAAAAAAAAAGUUACAAGCCCAUUGAUGAAAAAUGGAGUUAUACUUUGAAGUUUGAACAAACUAGUUGCAAGAAACAAUGGAGUUAUACUUCUCUGGUAUUUCUUUAUGCAUUCUCAUUUAACACCAGCAUGUCACACGAGAAAUUAUUUCACAAAAUAUAAAUCAAAUUCACAGCAUAAAAUGGUAUUUUGUAUUGAAUUCCACGGCUUAAGUGGAAGGUUUUUCAUCAAAGUGAUGAGAUUUUUCCCUUCUUUUACCACAGCUGAUGAAGAUUUUUCAUUAAAACCCAACUUGCAUAGCAAUCGCUCUCUGACUUCCUUUGCCUUGGAUUCUAUGAAUUGAAUCUUUACUUGAGGAAACUCACCUCAACAUUUUUCAUUUUCACGAGCCCUAUUUCACAUGUUGUCCUGCCAUUGACGACCUGAUUCCCGAGACUCUCAUCUUUAUCCCAUGCCAAUGCUCUCUCCACCCUUCCUUUCUCUCUCCCUGGGUUAAUUGCUUGAGCAUAUUGCAAGGCCUGCAAAUUACCAAGACAUGUCACGUGUGUAAUAGUUGGUAGAUUGUGCUCAUCACCUUGCUCCCCUAACUGUGAUGAGCGAACGUUUGAAUGAUAGUUACAAUGAUUUAGUAAUGAUCGAGCAAAUUUAAUUAUGUGUUUUUUGAUUGAGGAGCUCUCAUUAACAAGGUCAGAUCUGCUAGCUGUCAGUGGUUAGGGACCAGGUUAGUGAUAACCUGAGGAAUUUGUUCGUGGGACAUGAAUCUGAUUUAAACGUACGAUGUUCAACUCUAGCAAAUUGUAUACUACGUUGAUUUGAAACAGAGAUGACUAUUGAUGAGUUUUUUAUUUAUUUUUAAAAGAUGUUUAUAAAUAAAAUUCAUUUUAAAUAACAAUAAAUUUUGCGAAUGUGACAUACCUGAAAUAUUUGGGCUUAAGAGUUAAUGAAGUUUAAAAUAACAUGCCUCUAGCAAAUUUAUCAAAUCUAAAGAAUUUGAGCUUGGUAGUCAACUAAACCCAAGAUAAUACGGGUCUAACAUGUUUAGUGAUGUCUAAGAUCUAAGGCUAUAAUAUGCUUGAUUGUGGACGAUUCUUUACAAUAAAAAUAUAAAAAACACAUGAUAAAAUAUGAUGUUUAUACUCAUAGAUAUAUACAAGGUCACUUAAUACACCUACCAUACUUAUUAUAUCAUUAAUAAUAUAUAAGGGAUAUUUAUUUUCCAUUAAUAUCGCUGAAAGCAUAGCACUUUUCAAUCCUUCCCUUAUCUGAAAAUGUCAAAGUUCAUAUCUUGGUAAAAGAUCAGAACUUUUCAUCUUUUAAGAUAAAAAUAUAUAAUUUAAUAUAAAAAUAUAUUGGGUUAACCGCUUAUAUGCAAGAGAUGUGAGAAUAAUCUUUAAAAAAUAAAUUGAAAAGCUAAAUGUUUAAUUAGUUUAAUAUUAAAGGAUAAAAGUUGUAAAAAAUAGCACUUAUCCAAAAAAAUAAUAAUCAAUUAAACUUAAGUUAACCAAACAAACUCAUGAUACAAGUUAAAUAAAUUUUUUAUAUUAAAAAUUAUUUUUUAUUUAAUUACUGAUGAUAAAAACACAUGAGAGUUUUUUUUUCAAGGAACAUUUUUUUAAGGAAAGAAAUCGUGUUAGACCGUACUUAAAGCAUAACAGACAUGGAGAUAUGAGAAAUCGAAUUGACUUGUAAAUAUAAAAUAAAUAAAUAAAUACUGGAGUAAAAGACGAAAGGUAUGUUUUUGGAGCCUCAUUUCAUGGAGGUUCUGUCAAGUGAUCCAAAGCUAUAAUCAAAACUCGUCUAGGCGGUGCCAUCAUGACCUGACAGCACGGGCACAAAAUGAACCUCCUACGACCAUUUUCUUGUUCUUUAUUUUUUCUUUCCUCCUUAAUAUUUUGCUCCUGCCCUUCAAUUUUUUAAAUUAGCUUAUCGAAUUCUUUUUUUAUUGAUUCUUUAUUUUUUUAAUUAUUAUUUAUUUUAUUUAAAAUAAUUUAUGAAUUUUUUUUUUAAUUUCAUUCUCAUUUAUCAAAUUUAAUCACCAUUAUUAUAAUUACAAUUUAUAUAAUCUAAGAUAAUUUUUAAAAUUAAUUUUUUUAUGAUUCCAUUGUUCUUUUUUUUUUCUAUCAAGAUUUUUUUUCAUUCUUUAGAUUAUUUUUUUUACUUUGUAAAAGCUUUUUAGAUUUACUUUUUUCAUGAUGUCAUCAUUUUAACAUUAAAUUGAUUUAGAUUUGAUUUUCUUGAUUAAGUAUAUGUAUAGGAUUUCACAGGUUAUAAGUAUGAGAAAUUAACCUAAUUUUAAAAGAUUCAUUCGGGUUUGCUUGGGUGUUUUUUAUCAUUUUUUUAAACUAAUAUUUUUUUUUCAAUUUCAUCCUUCAACAUUUAUUUAAUUGGAGAUUACACUCCUUUUUUUCAUAUGCUUUUUACAUCCUUUGUUUUAUUUUUUUUUUAAUUAAUUGGAUUAUCUCAGGUCUUUUUAUUUGUUGUUUUUUAUCAAAUUUAUUUUUAAAAAAUAAAUCUUAUUCUUAAAUUAAAUAGAACUGAUUCAUUGAAUAUAGGCAUGAAAAACUCACUUCGUUAUGUUUUGUUCAUUUUUAUUUUCUAGGUCAUUGCUCUAGUGACCUAUGAAACUUCUUACAGUGUUGUCGUGCAACCUUUUGUAGUGACGUAUGAACAGUCUUUGUGAAUUUUUUUGGUGGUGAGUGAUGUUCAUAGUGGAGUGAUAAUGAGUCUUCAACAAUUUUUUUUUCUUUUUUCAAAUAUGAUAUUGACAAAUCAUUAUUUUUAAUUAGUUAUUUCUGAAUGAUUUCUUAUAGUUCAUCUGUUGUUGUUGUCUACUUAAAUCAAAUUAUUAGAUUACAAAAUCUUAUUAAAUUCAGUCAAGUUAAUAGUCUGAGUAAAGAGUUUUUCUUACUUCCUUUAAAACAUCACCGUCUCUUGAGCAUUCUUUUUUACAUUAAAAUAAUUUGGAUUAGCCUGAGACAUAACACGAGCCAUUAAUCUACUAUAUAUUAUAAAUAAAAGAACAAGGUCUUACCUGUAAACUUGAUAUAAAAGGGAGGGGAUUUUAUUAUACCCCUCUUAAAAAAUACUAUUUAUCUUUUGGUUUGAUUCAUACUGGAUAACUCAAGUCUCUUCUUUUAAUAUAUAUAACAUCAUCAUCAUUCAAUGCUAGGUUGAUUGAAAAUUAGACUUCAUAUUUAUUUAUUUUUGCUUUUUAAGAAGUUACUUUCAUCCCAUAACUUAGGUUACAAGUUUGACAAGUUAACUUAAAUUAUUUUUUAUAUCCCCUUUUUAAUUAAUUUUUCAAUUUCAAUCACAUCCUUCAACAUUAUAUUUAUUAGAAAUUGAGUUUUAUAAUUUGUUUCAAUUCAUUUUCUAUUAAGUUACCCCGAUCUCAUAACCUAAAUCGAAAUUUUAACAAGUUAACCCAAGUUAUCAAGUUAUUUUUUUUAUUCAAUUUUUAAUUGAUUUUUUUAAAAAAAUUCAUCAUUCAAAUUUAAUUCAUUAAAACUUGAGAUUCAUAAAUUUUUUUAUUAAAUUAUCACAAUCUCAUAACCUCAUAUUCAGAUUAACAGAUUAACCAAAUUUGACCAAAAUCAAUCUAAUAUAUUAUCAUUUCAAUAUUUAUAAAAAAUAUCAUCAUAAAUAUUUAUUUUAAAUUAAAUUAUAUUUUUACCGAUGAUUUGGAUUUCUUUAAACUCAUUAAAUCCACCAGUUCAUUUCAGAUUAUCUUUCCCACUAGAAAAUACAUUGGCAACAAGAAGAUAUUUUUUUCAUGUAAAAAAAAUCUGAACUGCAGGAUAGCAAGUGUCAACGAUACAGUAACAAGAGAAAAUCGGAGCAUCAGCAAAAUAGGGAGAUCCAUCUCAUAGACCGUCAAAGUUUUGAGAACUAGUAUACACUACACAGAAAAUAACAAGGUGUCAAGUGUAAACUUAAUAUACAACAGUUUCUUUGACCAUCAGAAUGCAUCCUGCUGAAAAUGUAAAGCUGACCAGACCCAAAUAUAAGAACACAUCCAUAUACGCAAACUGACGAGGCUGGCAAAUUCUUACUUGGAUUUAGGGCUUAAUUUGCACAUGUUCCUCCAUUUAUCCUUGAGGUCUAUUGUUGUUCGGCCAUUCGUAAAUACAGAACUACCAUACUCCAAAAUGUCCUUCCAGGAAUAUUUCCCGUCACUUGCAAAUUUCUGCACUCCCUCCUUUAACAGUAAAAGAGCAAGAAAUUAGAGCCUGAUAGAUCACAGUGAAGAGCUAAAAGCCAAAACUAUAUGAUAUUAGCUUGUGAAAGAAAACAGAUUUAGAAUGCACAACCAAGAAAAUCUCUCUUAAAUAUGUAUAAAUGCAUUUACCGGUGAGCAUACAAUUGAAAUAAAUAUUGGUGUCAGAAGCAUAUACGCAGUAAACAAAUACCUUGAGUAUCUCCUCCUCAUGGACUGUCCACGGAACCUUUUUUCGCCUCGACUGAGGCAUUGCAGGGGGACUGCAGAUCAGAAUAACAUUUUGGUCAACUACAAUUGCCACUGCAAUCAAAUGUCAAAUUAACAAGGAUGGGGUUUAACAAGGGAGCAAAGAUUUACCCAAAUUCACACACACGACAAAAGAAUAAUAAUAGAAGUUGACAUAGCAUAGUCAGAUUUUUUGAAGGUAGUAUACUAUAAAAGGAAAAACUGUUUUAAUUCUGGAAAUGGCAUUCAGAGGUGUACUAUAACCACCUGCAUAACACUUUGAAUAACUGGAAACUUACUAUUGUCUCUCUCUCUUUCGGAAUCUUAUGAAGUAAUUAGUACUUAUUGACUUGUCAUCUUCGUCACCAGAGGUUUCUCCUCCAUCGCUGCUGAUGGCACAAACAGCUUUCUGUCUUCGACCUUCUGUUCUCUGGCUUCCAGAGACAAUCUCUUUUCUUUACACAAAUGAUUAUCAACACUGUAUUUAGGAUCAACACUAACUUGGUGUUGAUUUAUGUCAAGUUCGGUUCCAGAUGAGUUCUCUUGAACCACCUCCUCCCUUCCUUUUCUACAGUAGAUAUAUGAUUAGAACUAACAUUUACAUCAGGCUCUUCUCUCUCUACACAGCGAAUUAACACCAAUGCAUGAUGCCAAAGGCUCUACUUGCUUCUUCUUCCUUUUUCCGUGGUCAUCCUUCCGAUAUCUGACCUUGAUUAUUUGUAUGUUUGCGUUUUCUCCAACCAAAUUCUCAUAAUCAAGAAAUUUAUUAAGCAGAUCCUUAUCUUCAUUCUGUCUUGAGCUGCCAUGUCUUUUGCUAAGCAGUCUUUGAGCAUGUUUGUUUGACCGAUACUCCUGUCUCGUUUCAAUAAAUAACUUCAGUUCCUUCCUCGCUGAAUAGGCUUUUUUCUUAGCUUCAAGGUACUCUGAAAUAGCAAGAGAAUAUGCACAGAAAGGACAGUAAAAGUCUCCCCUCUCAUCAAAAUGUGGUGAGAAAACUAAACAGUUCUCAUGAAUCACCAAUGAGCAACUACCAGCACCACAAACCAACAACUGACCAUCUUUA